rnacentral:lncRNA from 1 species
GGGAUGAAGACGCAGGAGAGGAUAUCCAAGACAACAACGGGACCAAUAUGGCGACUGCAUCUACAAUGGGACGUCCACUGGCUUCCAGACCUUUGAAUUAUCGGAAAGAACCUGAGCCACGGAGAAGACGUGUUCGCUGCUUUUUCAAAGGGAUGACUGCCAUCAUAGCAAGCUGGCACCACCAAACCAACCCAAGUCAUCAGUACCAUCGGGCUAGCACGGCUCAGGUCUUCAUGGAGAAACGGUCCAAGGAGAAGCCUAAGAUGGGGGCUUGUGUCUGGACCUCAGAGCCACCGGACCCUGAUCUUCUCCACUUGGGACAGCAAGCCUGACAGGAGCUUGGGAGGCAGGUUAAACACACACACACACACACACAA